rnacentral:rRNA from 1 species
GAUGAACGCUAGCGGCAGGCUUAACACAUGCAAGUCGAGGGGCAGCGCGGGAUAGCUAUACCCUGGCGGCUACCGGCGGAAGGGUGCGUAACGCGUGAGCGACAUGCCCGUUGCCCGGGGACAACCGCGGGAAACGCCGACUAAUCCCCGAUGGGAUAUUGUGCCGCAUGGCACGAUAUUGAAAGUUACGGCGGCGACGAAUUGGCUCUCGUCCCAUUAGCUUGUUGGCGGGGUAACGGCCCACCAAGGCUGCGAUCGGUAGUGGUUCUGAGAGGAAGGCCCCCCUCAAAGGGACUGAGACACGGCACAUACUCCUACGGGAGCCAUCAGGAAGGAAUAGCGAUGAAUGAGCGGAAGCCUGAGCCAGCCAGGCCGCGUGCGGAAGGGAGGCCGUAUGGGCUGUGAACCGCUUUUGCCUGAGGGCAAGAAGGGCGUCGCGCACGUCCGAUGAGGGUACCAGGCGAAUAAGCAUCGGCUAACUCCGUG